GACGAACGCUGGCGGCGUGCCUAAUACAUGCAAGUAGAACGCUGAAGAGAGGAGCUUGCUCUUCUUGGAUGAGUUGCGAACGGGUGAGUAACGCGUAGGUAACCUGCCUUGUAGCGGGGGAUAACUAUUGGAAACGAUAGCUAAUACCGCAUAACAAUGGAUGACUCAUGUCAUUUAUUUGAAAGGGGCAAAUGCUCCACUACAAGAUGGACCUGCGUUGUAUUAGCUAGUAGGUGAGGUAACGGCUCACCUAGGCGACGAUACAUAGCCGACCUGAGAGGGUGAUCGGCCACACUGGGACUGAGACACGGCCCAGACUCCUACGGGAGGCAGCAGUAGGGAAUCUUCGGCAAUGGGGGCAACCCUGACCGAGCAACGCCCCGUGAGUGAAGAAGGUUUUCGGAUCGUAAAGCUCUGUUGUAAGUCAAGAACGAGUGUGAGAGUGGAAAGCUCACACUGUGACGGUAGCUUACCAGAAAGGGACGGCUAACUCCGUGUCAGCAGCCGCGGGU
rnacentral:rRNA from 1 species